CUUUCUCCUGCCCGCCCUUUCUUCUUUCUUUCCAAUCGGUUAACCCUAAUUUCUCCCCUAAAUCUUUGAGUCUUCGACGAAAUCAUCCAUGCACCUGCUUUCCCGAGCUUCGAUCCACGGUCCACCUGUUUCUGCCGACAAAUUAGCUUGUUCGAGCUUCCAUCCACCUUCUCCAGGCGGCAGACUGGCGGGUACUUUCUCGGCUACUCCGAGCUUCGACCGGGGGCAAGGCAGAUCGUUGGGUAGAUCAAGGGAGGCCUCUACCGUGGAGACUAGCCCCAAUCAUUAGCUUCUACACUGGAUUCAUUGUUGGUGGUUGCCCGACUUGAGACAUCAAAUCUCGUGAGAACUCUCUUGGCCCUAAGUUUUGGUGGAUUGCCUCAAGAUAUGCGGACAUCGAUAUUCACCAUCAAAAAGAGUACAAGAUCAUAAGACGUUAUCUAGCAUAUGAUUGCUGGACAUUCAAAGGGCGAUAUCCAGUAGCUCCUUCGAAAUCUCAUUCAACCAGUAGCUAUAAGUUUCACAAAUAUGAGUGUGGUUCUACAUAUAUAUUUGUACGAGAUAUGUGUUUUACUUGCACAUUGCUCGGACGAUGUUAUUUGUGCACAGUAAAGUGGAUUAAUUGGAGAUAUUGUAAACCACCUAGGCAACUGAUUCAAUUAAGGCUUGAUUUGAGAAUGUUGUUGAUGAUGUA